rnacentral:tRNA from 1 species
UCCCAGGUGGUUCAGUGGUAACUCUGCCUGCCAAGCAGGAGAUGCAGGUUCAAUUCCUGGGCUGGGAA